rnacentral:rRNA from 1 species
UACAGAGGGUGCAAGCGUUGUUCGGAAUUAUUGGGCGUAAAGCGCGUGUAGGCGGCUUAGCAAGUCGGGCGUGAGAGCCCUCGGCUCAACCGAGGAAGUGCACCCGAAACUGCUGAGCUUGAGUACCGGAGAGGAUGGCGGAAUACCCCAAGUAGAGGUGAAAUUCGUAGAUAUGGGGUGGAACACCGGUGGCGAAGGCGGCCAUCUGGACGGUAACUGACGCUGAGACGCGAAAGCGUGGGGAGCAAACAGG